AGGGAGAGGGAGAGGGGGAGGGGGGAAGGGGUGAGAGACAGAGUGGGAACAGGAGAGUAAGAGCAAGAGGGAGAGGAGGGGGCAAGCAGCCCCUUUUAUAGUGAGUCGGCACACCUGGCUGUUGCCAGGUAACUGUGGGGCGGAGCUUAGACAGGAUGCUAACAGGUGUGGCUCUGAAGAUGCCUUCAGUAGGGGAGAGACAUGACUGUGUGGCGUUUGUGGAGUGGAUGGACUCAGGCCUGGCGGAGAGCAAUCUCGAGGAGGUCAGGGCUCCAUCUGGACAGGAGCGGGUUUGUCAGACUUGGCGAGAUGGGAGUGAUCUCUAGAGGGACCUGGCCUAUCCCUGACCUUGGGCUCGCCGCGGGAGCUGCAGGCCGAGUAUCUUCAGCUCUGCCCAGAAGAUACAUUUGCUGUCCCCCGCUCCCAGUUCUGCAGUCUGGGGUGUGUGAGUCAAGCCGGCUGUGCACAUCUUCUUUCCAGCUCCCCAUUAGUCUCAGAAAUGGAGCCGGCUGGGAGGACAGUGCUUCUGGCCUGUGAUGGCUGCUAUCUGCUAAUUGCACUUAAUUUCCCUGUGCUGUGCCCAGCAGGAGCCUGCUGAGAGCUCACUGGGCAUUCAGCAAAGCUGGCUGGUCCAGGCCACUCAAGACCUGAGCUUGCAGCUGAGCAGGAGACGGGGCGUAUGGUGUGCAGGCUUACUCUAUGAGAUACUUUCCAGGGAUAGUCUGGAUUCCAAACUUCCUCCCUCCCUGCCUGUCCAUGCCCUGACCUUGCAUCUUCCUAUUUUGACAAAGGAGUAUACUGCUGGGGUGGCUUCUCUGCCAAGGCCUGUGACUAUCUCAGAGUUUUCUAGUUCUCUGGUCUGAUCCCUCUGCAGGACUUAAUUGGACUGCCUUUCUCAGCUACAUAGUGGCUGGGGCAGCAACUGGCUUGUGCCCCCACAAAGACAUGUUCAAUGAGAGACCCUUCCCAAUAACCCUGAGAUGGGGGCAUAUCAUCCAAGGGUGAUCAGUCACUUCCUCUAGCCCCUUGCAAGCCUCGGUGAAUUUGUUCUUGGUCACAUGACUUAGCUUUGGCCAAUAUAGUAGAGAAGCCAGGCCUACCUUCCAAGUCACAGCUCUUAGAAGGCUGUUGGUCGUGAAGGAGUUACACCUGGAGGGAAGAGGGGUAGGCGGGGAGAUCAUGUGUGCCAGGUUCAGGGGAGACAGUCUUGGUUGGCUCCAGGCUUCAUGAGAGAAGGGAGGUGGCCAGUUACAGGUCUCUUACAUCGAAUGUGUCACACGAUGGGUUACCUAUAGGAUUCCUACCCUUUGACCUUUCCUGCCCUAAGUAGCUGGACUCAGACUUUCUGCCCUGCCCAGUGUCCCUACACUCUGGGCUUUCUAUGGAGAUUAGCCUCCCUGUUCACCGAUGCCCUAGGACUUGGGCACAGAAUGAGCAGUAGUGAGUUAGCCUGGAUGCGAUAACCAACCAUCUUAGAACCUGGACUGCCACACUCUGAGUCUGGGUGUUACUGUUCCAAAAAUUGGCCUCCCCUCACCCCCGCUCUUCUAUCACCCUAUCUCUGCACCAGGCAUGAGAACGACUCCUCUCUCAGAGGCAAAGGCUGCCGACAUUGCCGUUGUAGAAAGUACCUCAAAGACCCUCAUGCCAUGGGUGGUAAAACUGAGUUGAGCUGCCAAGCUAGAAGACCUGGAAGUGCUCCCAACCCAGUGGCUUCUUUCUUUCUUGGGACUCUAUCAUUUCUUUCUUGGGGGCGGGGUAGCUUUAGAGAAGUCAGCUCAUGGGGGUGGACACAGGAGACAAGCACCACUAGCAAUGGGCAAAACUGUGAGGGAGUGAUGUUUGGUAAAGAAGCCUACCCACAAGUUUGGAAUUUGUCCCUUGGGGACAAUCCCCCAGGAAAGAUGGGGCGAUGUGAGCACCGCAGGGCUUGGGAUUCAUCUGCAGCCAUCGAUAGCCAGCUUAUAACCACAGGCCACUGAUUGAUGUCUGAUGGGCUCUGCAAAGCUUGGCUCCCAGUGGCUAUGCAAGAACACUCUGUAGCCCCGUUGCCACACUGUAUGGAGCCAGCACUCUGUAUGUCUGGAGGAUGCUGAUUGGCCUCUCCAGGGUGGCUUUUAGUAAAUGGUGCCUUGAUAGGUCCUGCAGGUCUGUGCUGAGGACGAACUCCAGAAGCAGCAUUUUUCUCGAGGAUGAUAACACUAGGUGUGUGGCCCAAAGGACAACUGCUGUACUCAGCAGCAGAGUUCUCUCUCAGACAAGGAUCGCAGGAAAUGGCUGGGUGUUGUUUGUUUGUUUGUUUUUUCCCAAAUGGAGGGUAAGGAGCCAGGAUCACCUGCAGGACGUAUUAAGCACAGGUGUCACACACCCAGAUGCUUCAGUGGAGCACGUGAAUCUCCAGAGGAGCACGGCCCAGAGCUUUGCCUUGCAGACCCAUGUGUUCCUUUGUGGGGACAGGUAUGGAGUUGCACAAACGAAGCCACCGUAGUGAGAGCUCACAGCACGACUUCCUUAUGUUGUCAGAAUUUCCGCAUUUCAAUAAAAGGAGCGAUGUCUUAAAAACAAA